rnacentral:rRNA from 1 species
UACGUAGGGGGCAAGCGUUGUCCGGAAUCAUUGGGCGUAAAGCGCGUGUAGGCGGUCCGGUAAGUCCGCUGUGAAAGUCGGGGGCUCAACCUCGAGACGCCGGUGGAAACCAUCAGACUAGAGUCCGGAAGAGGAGAGUGGAAUUCCUGGUGUAGCGGUGAAAUGCGCAGAUAUCAGGAAGAACACCCGUGGCUAAGGCGGCUCCUCUAG